UACGUAGGGUGCAAGCGUUAUCCGGAAUUAUUGGGCGUAAAGAGCUCGUAGGCGGUUUGUCGCGUCUGCUGUGAAAACUCAGGGCUCAACCCUGAGCGUGCUUCCGAUACGGGCAGACUAGAGGUAUGCAGGGGAGAACGGAAUUCCUGGUGUAGCGGUGGAAUGCGCAGAUAUCAGGAGGAACACCGGUGGCGAAGGCGGAUCUCUGGGCCAUUACUGACGCUGAGGAGCGAAAGCGUGGGGAGCGAACAGG
rnacentral:rRNA from 1 species